rnacentral:tRNA from 1 species
ACCCAAUUAGUUCAAUUGGUAGAACACUGAGUAAUUGACUCUGAAAUGCAGGUUUGAUUCCUGCACUGGAAA